CCGCAGCUGAAGCUGAGACAAUGCAUCAUUUUAAACAUGGCAGCUUUCACAAGGAUGUAACCGAUCUGCCUUUAAUUUCAGAUGGGAAAUGCUUGCCUCAAGAUUGUAGAAGAAGCUGCACGACAACAUUUACUGUGUACUAUUGUGGCCCGGUUUCACAGACAAGGCUUAGCUUAUGCCAGGACUAGGCCUUAGUUAAUUAUCUGCAUGCUGAUGUAUGCACCUGCACAUCGUGUCCAUUAACAUUCACAGAGGUGCAGCAGCCAGCCAUUGUCAGAGACCUACAUUCAGCAUGAGACUGAAUACAAAGUCACAGAGACUUAUUCCAUGGGGAGGUGACAGAGCCUGUAUUUUUGCGGAUGCACAGGGACAAUCAACAAAAUGUCAUCAGAAAGGUCCUGAGGGGUCAAUUUUCCAAGGCGAAGGAUGACUUUUUGUUUGUAUUUCAGUAUCAAGAAGACAUGGAAACAUUUUUUGGCAUACUGUAUUGAUGAACACGGCCUAAAGGUCAAUGCCAUGUUCCUCAAUCAGCAAUUUUAAGUAGAUGAAUAGAUUAGUGAGUGAGGG